UCAAUAUGCAGAAAUACAAGUUACCUCAGUCUAGAAUAUAUGCCUCAUACUUUAGUGGUGAUAUGUCCUCUUGUUUGAGUUCGGUCGACGAGUCAAGAAAUACCUUGCAGAAAUAUAUAGGAGCAGAAAAAUCUUGCCUUCCAUGUCCAAGGUUGAUUUUUGGAUGCCCGGUGAAACUGGUCCUUGUGGGCCAUGUAUUGGUUUUUUUCCUUGAUUGUUCGGACAACAAUGAUGGUGUUGAUUCCGUAAGGAACAUAACGGAUGGCAAGCUUGUUGACAUAUGCCGUCUUGUGUUUGUUGAGUUCGAUCGGCAAGCAGAUGGCGUCUUGGAGCCUUUCCAAGCUAAGCAUGUCUUAACAGGGAUUAAUCUUGAAUGUUUAGCUGCCAUUCUUCAAAAGAAAGAAAGCCACUAUGACUUGGAUGUAUACGCUUAUGUAAUUCGUCAAGUCUAUUGGGGUUAGGAAAUGAAGGUCGCGAGUAUUUCCUGAAGUGUGCUGAUAAACAGGCUGUGAAGUAUGGCUAUCAAGUACUUAAGAUAAAUGAAGAGGAUUACGACAUGAUGUCUUCUUCAAUGCACCGGUGCAAAUAACAGAGCAUCCAGUUAGGUCACCUGUCAGUCUUCAUGAUUUUCAGUAUGAGUCGUCGUUAGCAAAUUUUGUAUUUUUGCUCCCUGCUGUAUUGAGUUUUCGCUUUGUCUUUCCUCCAGAAGUAUCUUGCCAGGAACACCUUGAAACUACUUAUGCUUGGUGUUGCUGCAUAUAUGUCAUUUUGCACCCUGCUGUAUUGUGUUUCUGCUUGUCUUUCCUACAACAGUUAUCUUGCCAAGAAUUGUAUGUUAGGC
rnacentral:misc_RNA from 1 species